UGGGGAAUAUUGGACAAUGGGCGAAAGCCUGAUCCAGCCAUGCCGCGUGUGUGAAGAAGGUCUUCGGAUUGUAAAGCACUUUAAGUUGGGAGGAAGGGCAGUAAGCGAAUACCUUGCUGUUUUGACGUUACCGACAGAAUAAGCACCGGCUAACUCUGUGCCAGCAGCCGCGGUAAUACAGAGGGUGCAAGCGUUAAUCGGAAUUACUGGGCGUAAAGCGCGCGUAGGUGGUUCGUUAAGUUGAAUGUGAAAGCCCCGGGCUCAACCUGGGAACUGCAUCCAAAACUGGCGAGCUAGAGUAGGGCAGAGGGUGGUGGAAUGUCCUGUGUAGCGGUGAAAUGCGUAGAUAUAGGAAGGAACACCAGUGGCGAAGGCGACCACCUGGGCUCAUACUGACACUGAGGUGCGAAAGAGUGGGGAGCAAACAGG
rnacentral:rRNA from 1 species